UCGGAAACGAAAAGUCCGUGUCUCUCUGAAGUCCCCUUUCUCCUUUGCACGAAGAACCAACCCUUUCUCCUUUCUCCUUUCUCCUUUGUCUUCCUCUUCUCUGUUUACUACAUUACACGAAUCUUUAUGGCUCGGAGGAGGAGCGGAGGGAGGCGGUUUCUAGGGUUUCUUGAUGCACGAUGGGCACGAGCAGCGACCCGAUCCAAGACGGUUCCGAUGAGCAGCAGAAACGAUCUGAGAUCUACACAUACGAAGCGCCAUGGCAGAUCUACGCAAUGAACUGGAGCGUCCGCUGCGACAAAAAGUACCAUUUCGCCAUCACCAGCCUCCUCGAGCAGUACCCGAACCGAGUCGAGAUCGUCCAGCUCGACGAGUCUAACGGCGAGAUCCGCUCCGAUCCCAACCUCGCCUUCGAGCACCCUUACCCUCACACAAAGACCAUCUUCAUCCCGGAUUAGGAAUGACAGCGCCCCGAUCUCCUCGCCACCUCCAGCGACUUCCUCCGCCUAUGGCGAAUCGCCGACGAUCACUCCCGCGUCGAGCUCAAGUCGUGCCUCAACAGCACUUUCUCGGUUUGGAAUGUACAAGGUUGAGCUUUUGUGCAAGACAGUUUCGGACACCAGGAUGAGAUCCUAGCCAUUGAUGCGCUGAGGAAGGAGCGUGCACUUACUCUUGGAAGAGAUAGAACCAUGCUAUUACACAAGAUGUCUGAGACCAGUCGUACGAUUUACCGUGCACCUGCAUCGUCUCUUGAGAGCUGCUGUUUCAUCAGUGAGACUGAGUACCUGUCUGGUUCGGACAGGAAUGCACUGUUGAAAAAGAAACCAGUGUUUCUCCUUAAGAAUGCACAUUCCGUUGUAGCUGGUGUAAUCACCACUAAUGAAAAUGGUGAUCAUGAUUGUGUGGAGUAUAGCAACUCUUCCACAACGAGUUCUUGGGUGAGUUCAGCUGCUGUGUGAAGAGGUAGUGACUUUGCCGUAUCUGGAGCUGGUAAUGGUUUUGUGCAUUUGAUGGUUGUUGAAGCAAGUGCCCUUUGGAUCUUUAUUCAAGCUUCCACUGAUAAAGUUUAUUUCCUUAAUGUUUUCUAAUAUUAUGUUGAUGCAUCUGUUGUUUCUGAGAGUGGUUAAGAGAAAAGCAUUUCACUUCACCAAGUAGUAAUCUCACAGUGCUUCUUUUAUCAUGUUAGAAGACUGGAUUUGUGAACUCUAUGGCAUUUGCAAAAUCUGGUAAAUUUUUGAUUGCUGGUGUUGGACAGAGACGAGAUUUGGAAGAUGGGGAUGCAUAAAAUCUGCGCAGAAUGGUGUGGCAAUACAUCCCUUAAGGCUGUCAUAAGGAUUUAAUGAAGAGUUGGUACUUAUAUUUUUCUGAAUCUCAAGUUAUAUAAAGAAGUUUUGCUCCCUUUUUGUUUGUUUUAUUGUACCCUAUUUUUUUAUAAUACAAGAGUGAGAAGAACUUUAACUUUUUUUGAGGUCCUGAUGAAUCAAAGAUGUGAAGAACUACAUAUAAUUUAUAUAAAGGAUAACUAUUAGUAACUA